AAGUCGUAACAAGGUUUCCGUAGGUGAACCUGCGGAAGGAUCAUUAUCGAAUAAAACUUGAACAGGUUGUUGCUGGCUCCUCGAGGCAUGUGCACGCUUGUCAUUUUUACUUCAUUUCUCCUCUGUGCACCAACUGUAGGUCUGGAGUUUUUUGAAAUUCUUUUUUGAUUGAGGACUGCUGUGCUUUCCUUGCAUCUCCAGGUCUAUGCCUUUUACAAUCCCUCAAAUGUGUUUGGAAUGUCAAAUUGUGAAUAUAAUAUAAUAUAUACAACUUUCAGCAACGGAUCUCUUGGCUCUC
rnacentral:misc_RNA from 1 species